UUAAGAACUAGUACUUGGUGAUUUUUAUUAAAUAAUUCCUCGUGAGAACGAUACUCUACUUUCACUUUAUUACUUGUUGACCGUGUAUACUUGCACGUAUUCAUUGAUUGCGAAAUCGACCAACAAUUAGGAUUCCUUUAAUCGUGGCCCGCGAUUAUCUCCCUUAUCUCCUGUAAUUAUUAUUUUCUUAUUCAAACACAUUCAAACACAGCAGACCCAUUUUUGAUCUUUGUUCCUUUUUCUCUCUCUUUUUUCUUCAUCCUCUUUUUUCCUACUUUGAAUAUUAAUUCUUAAUAUUAGGCCAUUUUUGAUUAUGGACUCCUCUUCACUUCUUUCCACUUCAAAAUUAGUCGUCGUUGCUUCCGGAAUUAUCGAAUAGGCUUCUAAAUGCUCUGUUGAAACUGGAAUUUCUUCUUGCUGAGGUAUUAUUGGUGAGGCUUCUGCAAAUGACUUGCGGAACUGCUCAAAACAGUUAGAGUGACGGUAGCUUGUGUCACACAUGAAGGGUCGGCAACCCUUGUCGUGAGAUGAACACAUGAGAAUAAUUUCAUUAUGAGGAUGUUCCAUACAUACUAGGCAUCGAGCUCCCUCCCAUUCUUUGACAUUUUUCUCAUUCUCUUAAGGAUUUUUGGACAAUGAUAUCGUAGUGAUCGGCUAGAUCCACAUGGGAAAGGAGAUGCUCUUAUAUCAAUUUCUCAUCUCCUUUGGCAUCUUGAAUUGUCAAAGCAACAGCAGAACAAUUGAAACUACAAUACAUAAAUCCACAUAGGAAAUACCUAGACAUAAGACAGUACCAAAUACAUAUAUUAAGCCUGAGUACCAUAUACAUAAUGCAGAACUACUCCCAAUAAAACCAUUAUAUCAUUGCUCUGCCAACAUCCUGGUCCCUAAAUAAGAGAAAUUAGAUUAUGUGUUUUUUGUACGAGUACUCAUAUCAAGGUAACCAAACCGUCAUACCAAGGUAACCAAACCGUCAUACCAAGGUAACCAAUUUAUUUUGAAUAUGAUGCAGUUGGUAGGCAAACCUUCAUGCAGUGGGUAGCCAAACCUUCAUACCAAGGUAACCAAUUCAGUUUUAUUAAGUUACCAAUUUAUUUUGAAUGUGAUGCAGUUGGUAGCCAAACCUUCAUGCAGUUGGUUGCCAAACUUUCAGACCAAGGUAACCAAUUCAUACUGUAGGUGUGGAGGUACAUUGGUUACCUUGGUAUAAAUGUUUGGUUAUCUUGGUAUAAAAGUUUGGUUACCUUGGUACGAAGGUUUGGUUAUCAACAUUACAUUACACAUCACUCUCUUAUCUCUCUCUUUCCUAUGCAGUGUUUUUUAUUUUCAUUUGGACAUGAAAUUGGAAUUGAAAUUUCUGGACAUGAAGAAAUUGUGAAAAAUCAAAUAUCCACCUCCUUUCUCCAUCCCAUCGACCAUUUUGUGGUUGACUCUCGCUCUGUCUCACCUGUGAAGGGGGAGGAAGAAGAUGACUUUGCCAAACCUUCAGACCAAGGUAACCAAUUCAGUUUUAUUAAGUUACCAAUUUAGUUUGAAUGUGAUGCAGUUGGUAGCCAACCAUUCAUACAAAGGUAACCAUUUUAAUUUUUGUGGGUAACCAAAUAGUCAUAACAAAAUUUUAGAACAGUAAGAGUUACAUCUAUUUAUUUUUAAACUUUUUGUAGGGCGAAUCUUUUUCUUCUUCUUCUCAUUGGCGUUUUGGACAACGGAGAUUCGCGGCGGAAUAGCGGAGGAGAGGGCUACUGUGAGGGAGAUGAAGAUUUGAAUUUGAAUUACUAUUUUACAUUUGAAUUUGUUUUUGUUAUUAGAUCCCAGAUAUUUGAAUUUGAAUUAUUA
rnacentral:lncRNA from 1 species